AUGCAGAAUCUUGGGCCUCACUCCAGAAGCCCUGAAUCAGAAUCUGCAUCUUUAACAAGACUCCAGGUGUCAUCCAGACUCAGCAAACUCCAGGAGGAACUGAUGCUCCUUUACCUUCAACUGUGGAGCCCGGACAAGAACAGCCUCCCUCUCUGUGGAAUCCUUGUGGAGCUCCCAGUCCAGCUCAGCCCAGCCCAGGUGUGCACUGCUCCCAGCUGUGUGGUCUCCCUUGCUGAACCUGCUGCUUGCAAGUGUGAACAGGAGCAGGGCAGAGAAGACACUUGGUUCUCCGUGCAGAAAAGGCUUGGAAAUGAUCCACAGGGGACCUGCAUUUCACUUGGCACCAUGGUUUCCAGAGAAUUGAGAAGCAUCUAAUCCACUUUUUAAGAAACAUCACUUAAGUAACAGAAUGAAUUGAAGACUUGUGGGUAAGGUGGUGCCAUGAGUACAGGUAAAAACCUCAACUUUCUCC
rnacentral:lncRNA from 1 species